GACAGAGGGUGCAAACGUUGCUCGGAAUUACUGGGCGUAAAGCGCGUGUAGGCGGGCCAUCAAGUCGGACGUGAAAUCCCUGAGCUCAACUCAGGAACUGCAUCCGAAACUGGUGGCCUGGAGUGGUGGAGAGGGAAGCAGAAUUCCUGGUGUAGAGGUGAAAUGCGCAGAUAUCAGGAAGAACACCCGUGGCGAAGGCGGCUCUCUGGGACGGUACUG
rnacentral:rRNA from 1 species